GACGAACGCUGGCGGCGUGCUUAACACAUGCAAGUCGAACGGAAAGGCCCUGCUUUUGUGGGGUGCUCGAGUGGCGAACGGGUGAGUAACACGUGAGUAACCUGCCCUUGACUUUGGGAUAACUUCAGGAAACUGGGGCUAAUACCGGAUAGGAGCUCCUGCUGCAUGGUGGGGGUUGGAAAGUUUCGGCGGUUGGGGAUGGACUCGCGGCUUAUGAGCUUGUUGGUGGGGUAGUGGCUUACCAAGGCUUUGACGGGUAGCCGGCCUGAGAGGGUGACCGGCCACAUUGGGACUGAGAUACGGCCCAGACUCCUACGGGAGGCAGCAGUGGGGAAUAUUGCACAAUGGGCGGAAGCCUGAUGCAGCAACGCCGCGUGCGGGAUGACGGCCUUCGGGUUGUAAACCGCAUUCGCCUGUGACGAAGCGUGAGUGACGGUAAUGGGUAAAGAAGCACCGGCUAACUACGUG
rnacentral:rRNA from 1 species